GGCAACACCAACUGCCAUUUGGGGCAUUUGUACAGUGCCUCUGGGAUUCACAAAGACACGUUGGUGAGACUGAGAAAGCUACUUGGGAGAGAGAAUAGACAGUCUAGAGAAGAGAGAGAGGCAGGAGGAAGCUGGUCUUCUGUCUCAGGGUAAAAUAUCAAGAAAUAAAUGUUCCAGAGGAAGGGACUACGGGGAAGGCAUCGUCCCAACUCUCCCCUCACUAAGCAGGAUCUGGAAAUGAACAAGGUUGAGAAACUGACCAUUCAGCUACAGAUGAUGACCUGUUAGAGGAAUGAACUGUUUGGAAUCCUCGACCAUUAUACCAACAAUAACUUAAAAAGCAGGACCAGUCACUUCAGGCCAGGCUGUGAAACUGAAGAAUACCCUCUAAUUUUACAUAUGGAGGAAAAAAUGUCUAACACAGGAAUAAGGGACUUCCGCCAUCUCUGUGGAGUACUGAGUCAACAGACCCAUGGAUCUGAUGGGGGCUGGAUCACCUGGAGGUCAAUUGGUGUUUGUCUCCCUGGAAACAGAUGCACACUGGAGAGAGCCUGUAAUCGGCAGGAGUGUGCUGCAUGCACAUCUACCCAAAGGUAGGAGCUUCUCUCUAAAGGUGAUGUUCUGGAAGGAAAAUGAAAUGGUAGGAGCACACAGUGUCCUCCACAACUAACCCUCCUCCUGCUAAGUUGAGGGCUACCAUAGGGAGAUUUGUGGGGAAACACAGGGGACAAGGUACUGAGAAGAUGCCAGAGAGCUCAGGAGGGAAUAAGGGGUACACACUCCCCAGAAACACUAAGGAUCGAACGUAGUGUUUCCUGGAGAAGUUCUGGUUGACUGGACCAGCACAAUACCCUGAGGUGUUCUUUCUCUGGCUGUGACUGAGAGCCGUCCAGAUGGAGAGACACCAAAAAGGACAGGGAUCCAGGGAGAGGUGACCCACAUGGUUCUAACUGCUCUCCCAGCUUGGGCUCCCACCUCAUCUCAGAGACACUGAAGUGAUGUUGCAGCUUUUCUGCCAAGUCCCCUUGCUGGGUGACCAGCUCCUUCUGCUUCAGCAGGUCCUUCAGUCCUUCAUCCAGGCUUUCC